GCCUACGGGGGGCAGCAGCCGCGGUAAUACGGAGGGUGCAAGCGUUACUCGGAAUCACUGGGCGUAAAGAGCGCGUAGGCGGGAUAGCAAGUCAGAUGUGAAAUCCUAUGGCUUAACCAUAGAACUGCAUUUGAAACUGUUAUUCUAGAGUAUGGGAGAGGUAGGUGGAAUUCUUGGUGUAGGGGUAAAAUCCGUAGAGAUCAAGAGGAAUACUCAUUGCGAAGGCGACCUGCUAGAACAUAACUGACGCUGAUGCGCGAAAGCGUGGGGAGCAAACGGGAUUAGAAACCCCAGUAGUCCAAGGA
rnacentral:rRNA from 1 species